rnacentral:rRNA from 1 species
CCCGCCAGAGGACCCCUAAACUCUGUUUCUAUAUGUAACUUCUGAGUAAAACCAUAAAUAAAUCAAAACUUUCAACAACGGAUCUCUUGGUUCUGGCAUCGAUGAAGAACGCAGCAAAAUGCGGUAAGUAAUGUGAAUCGCAGAAUUCAGUGAAUCAUCGAAUCUUUGAACGCACAUUGCGCCCGCCAGUAUUCUGGCGGGCAUGCCUGUUCGAGCGUCAUUUCAACCCUCAAGCACAGCUUGGUGUUGGGACUCGCGUUAAUUCGCGUUCCUCAAAUUGAUUGGCGGUCACGUCGAGCUUCCAUAGCGUAGUAGUAAAACCCUCGUUACUGGUAAUCGUCGCGGCCACGCCGUUAAACCCCAACUUCUGAAUGUUGACCUCGGAUCAGGUAGGAAUACCCGCUGAACUUAAGCAUAUCAAUAAGCGGAGG